rnacentral:misc_RNA from 1 species
AUGAGACUGAGAGAUACUCGUGUAUAUUGUGCCUUUGCAAACGACCCAAAAGCCAAACCUGUCAUCCUUCGUGAAAGCUGUUGGAGAGAAGCAACAAUAAAAAAUCUCUCUGCUAAAGGCUAUCCUCCAGAUCCCUCUGCAUAUCUUGAUCCAAACCUGAUCAGCCAAAAGCUUCCUGUUAUUUCUCACAAGACCCAAAAGCUAAAUGUUUCGUGGUAAUCCGGUAACUAACCCUUAUUAGUGU